GUGUAGCUUAGUGGUAGAGUGCUUGCUUAGCAUCCAUGAGGUGCUGGGUUCCAUUCCCAGCAAAACA
rnacentral:tRNA from 1 species